CCUACGGGAGGCAGCAGUGGGGAAUAUUGGACAAUGGGGGCAACCCUGAUCCAGCCAUGCCGCGUGUGUGAAGAAGGCCCUCGGGUUGUAAAGCACUUUCAGUGAGGAAGAACGCCUGGUGGUUAAUACCCAUCAGGAAAGACAUCACUCACAGAAGAAGCACCGGCUAACUCCGUGCCAGCAGCCGCGGUAAUACGGAGGGUGCGAGCGUUAAUCGGAAUUACUGGGCGUAAAGCGCGCGUAGGUGGCUUGAUAAGCCGGUUGUGAAAGCCCCGGGCUCAACCUGGGAACGGCAUCCGGAACUGUCAAGCUAGAGUGCAGGAGAGGAAGGUAGAAUUCCCGGUGUAGCGGUUAAAUGCGUAGAGAUCAGGAGGAAUACCAGUGGCGAAGGCGGCCUUCUGGACUGACACUGACACUGAGGUGCGAAAGCGUGGGUAGCAAACAGGAUUAGAUACCCCGGUAGUC
rnacentral:rRNA from 1 species